AUUGAACGCUGGCGGCAUGCCUAACACAUGCAAGUCGAACGGCAGCGCGGGGGCAACCCUGGCGGCGAGUGGCGGACGGGUGAGGAAUACAUGGGAAUCUACCCUGUCGUGGGGGAUAACGUAGGGAAACUUACGCUAAUACCGCAUACGACCGAGAGGUGAAAGCGGCGGACCGCAAGGCGUCGCGCGAUUGGAUGAGCCCAUGUCGGAUUAGCUAGUUGGCGGGGUAAAGGCCCACCAAGGCGACGAUCCGUAGCUGGUCUGAGAGGAUGAUCGGCCACACUGGAACUGAGACACGGUCCAGACUCCUACAGGAGGCAGCAGUGGGGAAUAUUGGACAAUGGGCGCAAGCCUGAUCCAGCAAUGCCGCGUGGGUGAAGAAGGCCUUCGGGUUGUAAAGCCCUUUUGUACGGGAAGAAAUCCUGUCGGUUAAUACCCGGCGGGGAUGACGGUACCGUAAGAAUAAGCACCGGCUAACUUCGUGCCAGCAGCCGCAGUAACAC
rnacentral:rRNA from 1 species